rnacentral:rRNA from 1 species
GGGUCCACGGGAGGCAGCAGUGAGGAAUAUUGGUCAAUGGUCGGGAGACUGAACCAGCCAAGCCGCGUGAGGGAGGAAGGUACAGAGGAUCGUAAACCUCUUUUGUCAGGGAACAAAGGCGGGGACGUGUCCCCGGAUGAGUGUACCUGAAGAAAAAGCAUCGGCUAACUCCGUGCCAGCAGCCGCGGUAAUACGGAGGAUUCGAGCGUUAUCCGGAUUUAUUGGGGUUAAAGGGUG